GAGCGCGCCCGCGCCGCCGCUCCUUCCGAGCCGGCCUCCCUUUACGGCCAUCGCGAAAGUGUCGUGAGCGUGCCGCCGCCGAUCGGAGUCACCCAGUCGGCUGCUGCCGGAGGUCUUAUUUCUAGGGGUGUGCUUGUUGGGGUCGGGGUAAGCACCAACCACAAAAAUCUACGAAAGAAAAUAAAUUAGUCUUCAAAUAUAAGAAAACCAAGAUCCAUGAGUGGGCAUCGGUCAACAAGGAAACGAUGUGGAGAUUCUUACCCGGAGUCCCCUAUGGGCUUCGGGCAUAUGAGUACUACAGGGUGUGUAUUAAAUAAGUUGUUUCAGUUACCUACACCACCAUUGACAAGACACCAAUUAAAACGGCUAGAAGAACACAGAUAUCAGAGUGCUGGACGAUCUCUGCUUGAGCCCUUGAUGCAAGGGUACUGGGAAUGGCUUGUAGGAAGAGUUCCCUCCUGGAUUGCCCCAAAUCUCAUCACCAUCAUUGGACUGUCAAUAAACAUCUGUACAACUAUUUUAUUAGUCUUCUACUGCCCCACAGCUACAGAGCAGGCACCUCUGUGGGCAUAUAUUGCUUGUGCCUGUGGCCUUUUCAUUUACCAGUCUUUGGAUGCUAUAGAUGGGAAACAGGCAAGAAGAACUAACAGUAGUACUCCUUUGGGAGAACUUUUUGAUCAUGGUUGUGAUUCACUGUCAACAGUUUUUGUGGUUCUUGGAACCUGUAUUGCAGUGCAACUGGGGACAAACCCUGAUUGGAUGUUCUUUUGUUGUUUUGCCGGGACGUUCAUGUUCUAUUGUGCACAUUGGCAAACGUAUGUUUCUGGAACCUUGCGAUUUGGAAUAUUCGAUGUUACAGAGUCCCAGAUCAUAAUUAUAAUAUGCCAGCUUCUCACAGGAAUCCUGGGGCCUUGGUUCUGGAACUUUACGAAUUGAUGUGACUGAAGUGCAAAUCUUCAUAAUAAUCAUGCAUUUGCUGGCAGUGAUUGGAGGACCACCUUUUUGGCAGUCUAUGAUUCCCGUGCUGAAUAUUCAAAUGAAAAUUUUUCCUGCACUUUGUACUGUAGCAGGGACCAUAUUUUCCUGUACAAAUUACUUCCGUGUAAUCUUCACAGGUGGUGUUGGAAAAAAUGGAUCAACAAUAGCAGGAACAAGUGUCCUUUCUCCUUUUCUCCAUAUUGGAUCAGUGAUUACAUUGGCUGCAAUGAUCUACAAGAAAUCAGCAGUUCAGCUUUUUGAAAAGCAUCCCUGUCUUUAUAUACUGACGUUUGGUUUUGUAUCUGCCAAAAUCACUAAUAAGCUUGUGGUUGCGCAUAUGACAAAAAGUGAAAUGCAUUUGCAUGACACAGCAUUCAUCGGUCCAGCACUUUUGUUUCUGGACCAGUAUUUUAACAGCUUUAUUGAUGAAUAUAUUGUCCUUUGGAUUGCCCUGGUCUUCUCUUUCUUUGAUUUGAUCCGCUACUGUGUCAGUGUUUGCAAUCAGAUUGCAUCUCACCUGCACAUACAUGUCUUCAGAAUCAAGGUGUCUGCAGCUCAUUCUAAUCAUCAUUAGUGAUAUAAUUGGUGUUAUAUAGGAAACUUAAGUUUUCUGCAGGAAAGAAUCUGAACAUAUUAAGGAGAAUGGGGGUGGAUAAGAACAAAUAUAAUUUAUAAUAAUCAAUGUUAUAUAACUUUUAUUCUUUAUUGUUGGUAACACUCCCUAACUAUCCUGUGUGAGAAUGGGAAUUUCAAAUCCCAUUCUGUAAACUGUACAUGUUGUCAUGCAGGGUUUGGGCCAAAAAAGCGUGGGGGGGGUGGGGGGGAAAAGCCACAUGUUUGUAAUUAUCCUGAAUUCAGAAUAAUAUUGCCAUGGGGAGCAGACCCCCAGUGAUGGACGUUUCUAAUGUAGACUGUUUGCAGGCCAAAAGAUGGUUGCUUUAUAAUUUUUACAAAUCAUCAUCUUUUAGUAACAACCUUGUUUGAUGUCUUUUCAAGCUUUUUUUACUAAGGAGCUCAGCUUGUGACAUGGAUACAUCCCACUAGCUGUGAGGUGGAACUAGUGAUAAAAACCUUGAAUUUGGAUUGAAAGGUUUCCUGUCUUUACAUUGUUGAGGAAGUCGUUUUUUAAUUGCUCAAGAAAUGGUAUCUCUCAUGGGCUUGGGAAAUUCUGUUAGCAUGCAGAAUAAUGUGGUAACUUUGUCGAUCUAUUUUAUUUUUUUAAAUAAAUAUAUGAUCUGAAAGCCA